UCAGUUGGCCGGGCGGCCGCGCCGUAUCAAUGCCGAAAGGCGUGCGGUGAGGAAAGUCCGGGCUCCACAGAGAACGGUGCCGGAUAACGUCCGGCGAGGGUGACCUUAGGGAAAGUGCCACAGAAAGCAAACCGCCUUCAAAGAUGUUCGCAUCAGGAGGGUAAGGGUGAAAGGGUGCGGUAAGAGCGCACCGCAUGGCUGGUAACAGUCAUGGCAGGGUAAACCCCACCGGGAGCAAGACCGAAUAGGGAUGGCGUCAACUUCGGUUGCGCGGCUCUUCGCGAGUCAUCCGGGUAGGUUGCACGAGGCGUAUAGCAAUAUGCGUCCCAGAUGAAUGGUCGCCACGUGCUGAUUUCAGCGCCAUACAGAACCCGGCUUACAGGCCAACUGACACA
rnacentral:RNase_P_RNA from 2 species